AAUGGAAUUGCUGGGUCCUAUGAUUCUGUUUAACUUUUUGAGAAACUGCCAAACUAUUUUCCACAGUGGCUGCACUAUUUGACAUUCCCAUCAGCAAU
rnacentral:pre_miRNA from 1 species